rnacentral:rRNA from 1 species
GAUGAACGCUGGCGGCGUGCCUAAUACAUGCAAGUCGAACGAAACUUCUUUAUCACCGAGUGCUUGCACUCACCGAUAAAGAGUUGAGUGGCGAACGGGUGAGUAACACGUGGGCAACCUGCCCAAAAGAGGGGGAUAACACUUGGAAACAGGUGCUAAUACCGCAUAACCAUAGUUACCGCAUGGUAACUAUGUAAAAGGUGGCUAUACUACCGCUUUUGGAUGGUCCCGCGGCGCAUUAGCUAGUUGGUAGGGUAAAGGCUUACCAAGGCAAUGAUGCGUAGCCGAAUUGAGAGGUUGAUCGGCCACAUUGGGACUGAGACACGGCCCAAACUCCUACGGGAGGCAGCAGUAGGGAAUCUUCCACAAUGGGCGAAAGCCUGAUGGAGCAACGCCGCGUGGGUGAAGAAGGUCUUCGGAUCGUAAAACCCUGUUGUUAGAGAAGAAAGUGCGUGAGAGUAACUGUUCACGUUUCGACGGUAUCUAACCAGAAAGCCACGGCUAACUACGUG